UUCAAAGCCACAAUGGAUGGAGAAAUUACAACAUUCACUCAGUUUUAAUGUUCUCUCUCUCUCUCUACAAUGCAGAGCAUGCACUAAUGUAGGUUAUGUAUAUAUAUAUAUAUAUAUACAUACACUUAUAUUCAAGACACUGAUCACUUUUGCCAAUCCUGUAAGUAAGUAAUGAUCUGUGGCUGGAGUAACAUAACCAAAGUACGUACAUUUCUUAAUAUUAAAUACUUUGUUGAAAAUUUAAAAACUAACAGACAAAAAUAUUUUGUUGAGGAAAUCUUAUCUAAUGUUGGAUAAUCUUGAAAAGUGCCAUCUCAUCUACUCAAUGUUCACUGUCGUAUAAUGAUUCAGUUCCCAAGUUAUAAGGCAAGACAGCCUAAAACAGCUGGUACUAGCAUUCAGAAAUUACUAUUCUGAUGGAGUAGUGAUAAGUUGACUAAAAAAACACUCACUCAAUUAAAACAGACAAGUUUUGUAAAGAGAAUAUUUACAUUAAGUGUUUGAAACCACCAAAAAAUGCUCGAGUUACUCUAGCAAACAAUUGUAGUGUUAAUAAAAUGAUCGUACAGGUUUUAGUGCAUCAAGAUAUCAAACUAUGUGAAAAUGGUUAGUUAGUAAUAAAAACAACAUUUAUUAGGUAAGAAAGAAAAGAAUAUACGUCUUACCCAGUAAUCUAAAAUUAACAGAGAUAAGCUUGGUGGAUCUACUCUUGCCAUUAAAGUUAUAUAAUUACCAACGUGCGGUGAAUAAGAUUCACAGAAAUCAGAGUUGAUUGAUAAUAAAUGUUACAAAAAAUGCCUAGCAGUGAGCAUGGAGGUAUUGUUGCAUAUUUUACACUGCACUGUGUAUAUUGUUGGGGGUGAAACAGCAGCAGAACAACCUCUGAAAUUAUAAAAUCUUACUACAACCCACAUUUUUUUUUUUUGGCAUGUAGAAUGGUUUCUUUACCUUGUGAGUACUCUAGAAAAUACUGAAGUCUACUCAAGAUCAAAUUUGUUGGACUUCAUAUUUUUUUUGUAAUUUGUAUUCACUCACUAAUUUUUCUGACUAGAUUUAUAACUGCACAAAAUAUAAACGUGCCUUUUGUAUUCCCUCUUUUAAACGCUCCCACCCACAGUGGGUCAAUGAUAAGUCCGAAGGCUUAUAACAUUAAAAACCAGGUUUCGAUCCUCUUUUAAACCUGCAACUUUAUAUUUCAUCCAUUAGCCCACUAAGCUUAAAUCUUAGAUAUUAAUGAUGGCUUAUCUUGUAGUUCCUAAUUAAAAGGUAUACUUAUAUCAUUGGUAAGUACAACUUAAAAUGAUGUAUUGAAGCAAUAAAAAAAAAAA